rnacentral:rRNA from 1 species
CCUACGGGUGGCAGCAGUGGGGAAUAUUGCGCAAUGGAGGAAACCCUGAUCCAGCAACGCCGCGUGAGUGAAGAAGGAAUUCGUUUUGUAAAGCUCUAUCAGCAGGGAAGAAAAUAGCGGUGCCUGAGUAAGAAGCCGCGGCUACCUACGUGCCAGCAGCCGCGGUAGUACGUAGGGGGCAAGCGGUAUCCUGAUUUACUGCGCGUAAAGGGAGCGUAGACGGUAGUGCAAGUAGGGAGUGAAAGGCGGGGGCUCAACCCUCGGACUGCUCUUGAAACUGUACGGCUGGAGUGCAGGAGAGGUAAGUGGAAUUCCUAGUGUAGCGGUGAAAUGCGUAGAUAUUAGGAGGAACACCAGUGGCGAAGGCGGCUUACUGGACUGUAACUGACGUUGAGGCUCGAAAGCGUGGGGAGCAAACAGGAUUAGAUACCCUGGUAGUC